rnacentral:tRNA from 1 species
GCGGCGGUCGCCCAACGAGUCGGGCAUCGGAUUUUUAAUCCGAACUGUGUGGGUUCGAAUCCCGCUCGCCGCA